AUUCACUGCUCACUCUGUGUAAUUUACGAGACAACCUACUUCGUUGCGACUCCUUGUUUUUUGAUUACUACUUAGGUAACGUCGCUCACAUUCAGCUCCCGUUUUAAACACAUGUAGGGUUUAUCAUUUGAUCACGGGCAUCCACCAGAGACUCACAGUGCGUUUCCUAUCGCUGCACAUAAGUAGGCCAACGCAGGGCUGUGCAAGCUGUUUCCCCCGUGGGAAGAGAUGAGGAGAGGAGAGGUAGUGUGUCAUAUAAAGUCUCCAUUUCUGCUUUUUCCUCCAACUUCACUCUGAGCACCAGAACGGAGGAAGAGACUUGUAGGCCUGGAGGAAAAAUAGCAGUUCAAGCUGUACUUUGUGACGCUCGAUGCACGUCAGGUGGUUGGUGACGUGGACGGGGUUGAGAAGUCCAGCCUGUGUCAGACCUGCACAGUCGAUCACAGAGUGGACAAAGGAGGGGGGAGCACUUUACUGCAGCCACGGAAACGAAGACAAAUAUUUAGCCGGUCCAAUCGUGUGGAGCCAGCAGGGGAAAGUGGGUGUGGCUCUGGGUUUGACCUCACCAGGUGAUUUCUGAAGAAAGAUUUAAAAUUCGCUCAUUCACCUGGUAAACAUUUUAUUUUCCGAUAUGGUAACACUUUAAUUGAAGUUUUAUACAUAAGGCUAACAUUACACUGUCAUUAGCAUGAAUAAGGUGAAAUGAAGGCUGUCAUUUAGUGUUGUUCGCUAAAUUAUGACAACUUUGGAGCUAUGUUGGCAUUGCCUGGGUUAAGUGGAGAUCUAGUGGAGUUAGGUAGGGGUUAAGGUUAGGGUAACAAAGGGUUAGUGUAAAGAAUGACACUUAUUAACAGCCUUUAUGACACCUUAUUCAUGCUAAUGACAGGUGUCAUGAAGGCUGUCAUUAAGUGUUUUUUGCUGAAUUGUGAUUGCUCUGUUGGCAUUUUCUGGGUUAGGUGGAGG
rnacentral:lncRNA from 1 species